rnacentral:rRNA from 1 species
UACGUAGGGUGCGAGCGUUGUCCGGAAUUAUUGGGCGUAAAGAGCUCGUAGGCGGUGUGUCGCGUCGGCCGUGAAAACCUGCAGCUUAACUGUGGGCGUGCGGUCGAUACGGGCAUCACUGGAGUUUGGCAGGGGAGACUGGAAUUCCUGGUGUAGCGGUGAAAUGCGCGGAUAUCAGGAGGAACACCGGUGGCGAAGGCGGGUCUCUGGGCCGAUACUGACGCUGAGGAGCGAAAGCGUGGGGAGCGAACAGG